UUUUAAUUCCUAGCGGCGGACGGGUGAGUAAAGCCUAGGAAUCUGCCCAUCAGAGGGGGACAACGCGGGGAAACUCGCGCUAAUACCGCAUACGCCCUAAGGGGGAAAGAUGCUUUAUUGUAUCGCUGAUGGAUGAGCCUAGGUCGGAUUAGCUAGUUGGUGAGGUAAAGGCUCACCAAGGCGACGAUCCGUAGCUGGUCUGAGAGGAUGAUCAGCCACACUGGGACUGAGACACGGCCCAG
rnacentral:rRNA from 1 species